GAUGAAGAACGCAGCGAAAUGCGAUACGUAAUGUGAAUUGCAAAUUCAGUGAAUCAUCGAGUCUUUGAACGCACAUUGCGCCCCCUGGUAUUCCGGGGGGCAUGCCUGUCCGAGCGUCAUUGCUGCCCUCAAGCACGGCGUGUGUGUUGGGCCCCGUCCUCCGAUCCCGGGGGACGGGCCCGAAAGGCAGCGGCGGCACCGCGUCCGGUCCUCGAGCGUAUGGGGCUUUGUCACCCGCUCUGUAGGCCCGGCCGGCGCUUGCCGAUCAACCCAAAUUUUUAUCCAGGUUGACCUCGGAUCAGGUAGGGAUACCCGCUGAACUUAAGCAUAUCAAUAAGCGGAGGA
rnacentral:misc_RNA from 1 species